GGAAUCUUGGAUUUGUGAGAGAAUUACUGGGUUCCAGAUCUAAAAUCACCAGGAUUUAUCAAGUAUGCUGCCUGAUGCAUAGUUCAGAGCCCAAUAAUGAGCCUUGGGUAAUUUUCAAGGAAGCAACGACCCUGUGCCUUAUACCUUGGAGCCACAGUGGAUCUGAGGUGGAAAGGGUGAGGUGGACCAAACACCAAAGCCAGGGAAAAUCAAUGGCUGUAGCGUGUAGAAGGACAUCAUUUGAGCACCGGUCUCGAUAGCGAAGUGUUAGAAGUAAUGAAGGAAUCAAUUACUAGGGAGUGAGGUAAGCAAAACAAAUAUGCAGCAAAAUGAGUAAGUUGUAAAAAUAUAUCAUUAGAUUAAAA
rnacentral:lncRNA from 10 species